UAGGUAGGUGGUUACGUAUGUCUGGGGUGAAAUCCCUGAGCUCAACUCAGGACGUGCCUUGGAAACGGCGUAACUAGAGUGCUAGAGAGGUUCGUGGAAUUCUUGGUGUAGCGGUGAAAUGCGUAGAGAUCAAGAGGAACAUCAGCGGCGAAGGCGGCGAACUGGAUAGUAACUGACACUGAACUACGAAAGCGUGGGGAGCAAACAGGAUUAGAUACCCUGGUAGUCCACGCUGUAAACGAUGGGUACUAGGAUUGGUGGGAGUUGACCCCUGCCGAUCCGGAGCUAACGCGAUAAGUACCCCGCCUGGGAAGUACGGUCGCAAGACUAAA
rnacentral:rRNA from 1 species